CUUCAAAAUAAAUUAAUUUUUAUCGAUAGAAAAUAUAUUUUUCUAUAUACACAGUAAAUUGUGUAUUCAAUUGAGUAUGGAAGUAAUAAUUUAAUGUUUCCACAAUUUGAAAAUUUCAUUUUUGAGUUUAAUUAAAUUAUGUUGCCAAGGCAUUGACAAUUGUCAAAAAUGUUUAAGGUACUUUGAAUAUAUGCAUGGUAUUCUCAUGGCUAAUGUCGUCCCAACGACUUGAUAAUUGACCUCAAUUCCAACUCUAUAGUCUAUUUAUUUAAACAUCAAAACAGUACGACAAAAUAAUUACUUUCCAUACUCAGUGAAUAUUGCUGUCAAUUUACCAAAACCAGUUAGUGCAUGCGUAUAAAAAAGAAUAAAAAAGCAUGUUCGGUUUUACUUAAUUUGAGCCAUAUAUUUUCUUUGUAAUUAUGAAAUAACUCGGUAAACUCGUAAAAUUUAUCACUUACAGUUAUUUCACAAUUAUUUAUCUUGAAGUAUAAACAUUUAUCAUGAAAAGACCAAGUUCCUCUUGUUUCCUCAAGAGUUAACGUUUUUAAUGUUAAUUCGCGGGCAAACAAGGUGUUUUUAAUGUUGUGUUUAUUCACUUGUGUUGAACACAAUGUUAAUUGUGUCUUUGUGCCAUGUUCUGUUUUCUUCUAUUGUUAUUUAAAUAAGUACAGUAUGCAGUGGUUGUUCUCUUUUUAUUGUUAUUCAAAUUGUAAAAUUACAAGUUCUUUUCAAUAAAUUGUUCAUUAAUUAUACAAGAGACUCCUUUUUAAUUAAAAAUUCAAUUCCCAUGGGAAUUGAAAAAAAAAAUAAAAAAAAUCCCUCUACCCCGGCCGGCUCCCCAAGUACCACCUCUACUUCAAGCAGAAGCACUCUACUUAAAAGUACUUCUACUUAAAGUAGAGAUAGCACUCGGAGAGCCAGCCGGGGUAGCGGGGCAAAGAGAAGACCAAGCUUGCAAAUGCUAAUGCAAAUUGCUAAGUUGAUCUUCUCUUGAGAGCAGCCACGCGCAUACCUGACAAAUAUGUAAAACAACAAAUGUUAGUAACAAAUACUUAGCAUGCAAAUUUGAGUCCCAUGGCCGAAAAUGACAAGUGCCCCCCACGGAUUCCUACCAACUGACUACCUGCCUCAGUCCUAAGCUGUCUUCCUCGGUCCUAAGCUGUCUGCCUCGGUCCUAAGCUACCUGCAUUCCAUUCGUAACUUCCGCUUUCCUCACCAUCACACAGACACUCACAACUGCCCAACCCACCCCCAGCCCGAACUGCCGCCCUUCAAAAACUGAAGGAAUUAAAAUUUCGGUAAAGUAUACAUAAUUAAUUGAAUUAAUUCGGAUAUUUUAGGCCAAACGUAAACAGAUAAAUUAAAGGUUGACGAUUACGAAAGACCGCAUAUACAAACAGGUG